GCCCAACAGGCCUCCUUUGCUGUGGGAGAAGCACUCAGAGCUAGAGUGCCCUCCGCAUUCAACAGAAGCACAGUUAAGUGUGAGGCUCAGGUUAAAUUUCAGGAGCGUUUAUUCGGGGGAGGCUCUCCAGAAUUGCUGUGGUGUGCUUUCAAGUUCCCAGCCUAGCCGCACUCCAGAAUCACACCAUCCCCGGCCUAAUGAAUCAGCAUCUCCAAGAUUGGCAAAAGUGCUGCUAUCAAGGACAAGUCGAAUGGCUCCUGUGUGGCUGCUUCCCUGGCUCUUGAGCUAUGCAGUGUUAAUACAAGUGGGGAAGGCGCAACAGAAGACAGCUGUGUUUAACUUCACGUCAACUUUGUUAGCUUUUUUCUAAUUACAUUACCAAAUUCCAUUACACAAGGGUCAGGAAUUAACAUUUUUAACAUCAACGAUUUAUAUUAUUUUUAUGAUUUAAAUUAUUAAAAUGACUUAAGUUGUUCUUAGUCACUUGUUAUUAUUCUCAUUUGUGUUCAUUGCU
rnacentral:lncRNA from 13 species